ACGCUGGCGGCAGGCUUACACAUGCAAGUCGAACGGUAGCAGGAGAAAGCUUGCUUUCUUGCUGACGAGUGGCGGACGGGUGAGUAAUGCUUGGGAAUCUGGCUUAUGGAGGGGGAUAACGACGGGAAACUGUCGCUAAUACCGCGUAUUAUCGGAAGAUGAAAGUGCGGGACUGAGAGGCCGCAUGCCAUAGGAUGAGCCCAAGUGGGAUUAGGUAGUUGGUGGGGUAAAGGCCUACCAAGCCUGCGAUCUCUAGCUGGUCUGAGAGGAUGGCCAGCCACACUGGAACUGAGACACGGUCCAGACUCCUACGGGAGGCAGCAGUGGGGAAUAUUGCGCAAUGGGGGGAACCCUGACGCAGCCAUGCCGCGUGAAUGAAGAAGGCCUUCGGGUUGUAAAGUUCUUUCGGUAUUGAGGAAGGUUGAUGUGUUAAUAGCACAUCAAAUUGACGUUAAAUACAGAAGAAGCACCGGCUAACUCCGUGCCAGCAGCCGCGGUAAUACGGAGGGUGCGAGCGUUAAUCGGAAUAACUGGGCGUAAAGGGCACGCAGGCGGUUAUUUAAGUGAGGUGUGAAAGCCCUGGGCUUAACCUAGGAAUUGCAUUUCAGACUGGGUAACUAGAGUACUUUAGGGAGGGGUAGAAUUCCACGUGUAGCGGUGAAAUGCGUAGAGAUGUGGAGGAAUACCGAAGGCGAAGGCAGCCCCUUGGGAAUGUACUGACGCUCAUGUGCGAAAGCGUGGGGAGCAAACAGGAUUAGAUACCCUGGUAGUCCACGCUGUAAACGCUGUCGAUUUGGGGGUUGGGGUUUAACUUUGGCGCCCGUAGCUAACGUGAUAAAUCGACCGCCUGGGGAGUACGGCCGCAAGGUUAAAACUCAAAUGAAUUGACGGGGGCCCGCACAA
rnacentral:rRNA from 1 species